rnacentral:snoRNA from 1 species
AUCUUUUUGUGGUUCAAAAGCAUGAUGAAUGGGUGCUCAUGCAUUUGUGUGAGAUGUGCCUCCCUUAAACCUUGUUACCACCUCGGCGCAUUACUCAUCUGAUA